UACAGAGGUCCCGAGCGUUGUUCGGAUUCACUGGGCGUAAAGGGUGCGUAGGUGGUGAGGUAAGUCGGAUGUGAAAUCUCCAGCUCAACUUGGAAACUGCAUUGGAAACUACCUUGCUAGAGGAUUUGAGGGGGGAUUGGAAUACUUGGUGUAGCAGUGAAAUGCGUAGAUAUCAAGUGGAACACCAGUGGCGAAGGCGAAUCCCUGGAAAAUACCUGACACUGAGGCACGAAAGCUAGGGGAGCAAACAGG
rnacentral:rRNA from 1 species